GGAAAAGGCGGGCUCUUAAGGUGCAAGACUCCUACUCUUCCUCUUCGUGGGCGCUGCGCUUGACGCCGUGACCAAUCACAGGCCACGUCGCGUCGCUGCAGCCAAUCGGAAGAGCCUAGAACAUUAAGACGAGCAUUUGACGACUCCUCCUCUCUGUUCCAGGUUCCCUGAUGUGGCGAUGUUAUAGGAGCUGUUGGGAUGGUUGGCCUUAGAUAUGUGACCCCGGAGGAGCAUGAAUAAGAGUGUUAAUACGGGGAUACGUCGUUUUUUAAUUCAACGAACAUUUUCUACAAGACCGUUUGUCACUGUGGGGCAAUUAAGGAAACAAGGCGAGGGUGAUUCCAACAUUUCCAAGCCAGAUUGCGUCUUUUUCCCCUUGUUGUUUUCUUAGUCCAGAUUCCAGCCAAAAGGAAUUACAUUCUUGGAGAUGUUGGAAAAAGAUUCCUGGGACUUCAAAGAUAAUCACUCCAGAUAUACAGGGGAGUGGGAGGAGGGCAAAGCAGAGAGACAUCAUCUUCUGGGCUCUCACUUGGCAAGCCUUGGUUUCUUGAUGGCUGUUGACUGAAGACUUCAGUGCUUCACCAUGAGAACCUCUCCAUAGGGUGCCUGAGAACUCUCGCAACAUGACAACUAUCUUUCCCCAGAGGGAAUGAUCCAAGAGAGAAAUGCCAAGUUAACAUGAAUGAAAUUGAAGGGUGUUUUUGUCAGAUUUAUCUGAUAAAGAAUUUGAACAUUUAUAUAGUAAGAUACAGGUGGUCCUUACUUUGCACCGUUCCAUUAUACAUGAAGAUCAGUUUUCACAGUUUAGUUAAAUAACACCAAUCCUCCUACAACACAGUUGUGAUUUCAGUUACAAUAGUAACUGAAUUGUUGCAUAAGUUUUGUUGCUAGCUCUUUAUUCCACAACUGAUUAUGCAUUAUAAAAGAUGUGCAUCAUGGUCAGUAACCAGUUACAUCACAUCUUUCAAAGUCUCUUGGUGAUUGAUCACUAAACAUCUAUUAGUUCACAGAGUAAAGCAUGUAGUUGUAUUGCUUACUUGUUUCCCAGUAAUAAACCCAUGCAACAUUGUACAAAACUGGAUAAUCAGAAGAGGGAAUUGGCAGGGCAGCAAAGAAACAAGUGAUUUUUAACACUGGAAGUGAAAUUGGAUUUGAAAAUGGCGACAGCAUAGUGAAGACGAGACGAGACCCAGGCCUACAUAAAGCUGCAGCAGAAACUGUGGUUUAAAAGUUCGAGGAAUAUAAAAAGCAAAGUAAAGUUGCUUCAACAUUUUUUAGUUUAAAUUACACUAGGAACAGAAAGCCACUUACAGUUGAAAUGGAGUGCUUGCUUCUACUUUGGAUGGAGGACUGUAAUAAAAAAUCCUAAUCAGUUUGGCUAGCAUUCAGGCCAGAGUGUUGAGGUUAGUUGCUGCACUGAAGGAAAAUGGUAAUUACCAGGAGACUAAAAAAGAACGUUUUUUGCUGGGAAAGGCUGGUUUCAUCGUUCAGAAGUCUGGAGCGCCUGCGUGGCUCAGUCGGUUAAGGUUAAGCAUCGUUUGGAGGUCGGCGUGAAUGGAAUAAUGUUCCACUGGUGAAGCUGCAUGUUCAGAUAAGGAUGCUACUGGGAAAUUUGCACCCAUGUUCCAAGAAUCACAGGCAGUCCUUGCUUUGCACAGUGGUAUGAGACUACUGUGCAAAACUUCAUAGGAUUUGGCUGGAAUGUAAAUGGAGUUCCGGAAGAUAUGACUGUGGGAAUGUUUACACUGCUGCCAUUCAGGAAGUAGUUCUGGAUAUACAGCCAGAAGGUGCUGCUUCAGCAGCACAUACACUAAAAUUGGAUAUAUAGCCAGAAGAAUUUAGUGAAGGUGAACAUAGUUAUAAAUGAGGAAAGCAGUUGUGUGUUGUGAAGGAUGAAUACAUUUGGAGGAAGUGAUUCAGGUGAAAAACCACAUUAAAGGAACUCUGAGAUGUUUCAUGACACUGUGCAAAGCAUUAAACGUUAGAAAAAGAUCAAACUCAGAAAAGAGGAUGACAAUUUGCCAAGGCAUAGGAAAGAUGCUUGCUCCAUAUUGUAAGUUAUAUGAGAAAGCAAGCACUGUUCAAACUACUUGAGACUUGUUUAUAAAGAAAUAAAACAUUCUAAUUUUCAAUGUUUCUAAUGUUUUGAAUAUUUUAUUUUUUAUAUUUCAACCAAAAUCAGUUUCUAAUGUUUGGACAAAUUUUAAGGUUAUAGAACAAUCAGAUUGUGCUUUGCGCGGUUUCAGCUUUCAUAGUCCAAGUGAGAACUCCCUCUAUUUAAAACAAACUAGGAACUCUUUAUAUUUAACCAGAUAUAUCAAGUCUAGAAACAAAUACACUUUUCCCUUAGAUUACCAGUUAUAUUAUGACAGUUUUCAUACUGUCUUUGUAUGCAUGCUACUAUAACAAGGCUUUGAAAUAAAAAUUUAUACAAUA